rnacentral:rRNA from 1 species
AUUGAACGCUGGCGGCAGGCCUAACACAUGCAAGUCGAACGAGUGGCGGACGGGUGAGUAAUGUCUGGGAAACUGCCUGAUGGAGGGGGAUAACUACUGGAAACGGUAGCUAAUACCGCAUACCAUCAGAGGUGCCCAGCUGGGAUUAGCUUGUUGGUGGGGUAACGGCCUACCAAGGCGGUGACGGGUAGCCGGCCUGAGAGGGUGACCGGCCAAAUUGGGACUGAGAUCCGGCCCGGACUCCUACGGGAGGCAGCAGUGGGGGAUAUUGCACAAUGGGCGAAAGCCUGCUCCAGCCCUGCCGCGUGUGUGAAGAAGGUCUUCGGAUUGUAAAGCACUUUAAGUUGGGAGGCGUUACCAACAGAAUAAGCACCGGCUAACUUCGUGCCAGCAGCCGCGGUAAUAC